rnacentral:tRNA from 1 species
GCCCCGGUAGCUCAGUCCGGCAGAGCGGCGGGCUGCAGACCCGUAGGUCCCGGGUUCAAAGGCGGCUUUGCCGCCGAAUCGAUCCCGGCCGGGGCUCCA